rnacentral:rRNA from 1 species
GACAGGGGAUGCAAGCGUUACUCGGAAUUACUGGGCGUAAAGCGUCUGCAGGUUUCGUAGCAAGUCUGGUGCUAAAUUUCGAUGCUCAACAUCGUCUUUUGUGCCGGAAACUCCUACGAUAGAGUCACUCAGAGGCAUCUGGAAUGUCGUGUGUAGGGGUAAAAUCCGUAGAUCCACGAUGGAACGCCAAAAGCGAAGGCAGGAUGCUGGGGGUGUACUGACACUCAGAGACGAAAGCGUGGGGAGCAAAGGGG